GCGUUAGAGAGUUUUUAUAAUCUGCUCAGGACGAACGCUGGCCGGCGGUGCCUAAUACAAUGCAAGUCGAGGCGGACCAGAAUGGGAGCUGCUCCCUUGAUGUUCAGCGGGCGGACGGGUGAAGUAACACCGUGGGUAACCCUGCCUGUAAGACUGGGAAUAACUCCGGGAAACCCGGGGCUUAAUACCGGGAUGCUUGAUUGAACCGCCAUGGUUCAAUUAUUAAAAGGGUGGCUUUCAGCUAUCCACUUACAGAUGGACCCGCGGCGCAUAGCUAGUUGGUGAGGUAACGGCUCACCAAGGCAACGAUGCGUAGCCGACUGAGAGGGUGAUCGGCCACACUGGGACUGAGACACGGCCCAGACUCCUACGGGAGGCAGCAGUAGGGAAUCUUCCGCAAUGGACGAAAGUCUGACGGAGCAACGCCGCGUGAGUGAUGAAGGUUUUCGGAUCGUAAAACUCUGUUGUUAGGGAAGAACAAGUACCGUUCGAAUAGGGCGGUACCUUGACGGUACCUAACCAGAAAGCCACGGCUAACUACGUGCCAGCAGCCGCGGUAAUACGUAGGUGGCAAGCGUUGUCCGGAAUUAUUGGGCGUAAAGCGCGCGCAGGCGGUUUCUUAAGUCUGAUGUGAAAGCCCCCGGCUCAACCGGGGAGGGUCAUUGGAAACUGGGGAACUUGAGUGCAGAAGAGGAGAGUGGAAUUCCACGUGUAGCGGUGAAAUGCGUAGAGAUGUGGAGGAACACCAGUGGCGAAGGCGACUCUCUGGUCUGUAACUGACGCUGAGGCGCGAAAGCGUGGGGAGCGAACAGGAUUAGAUACCCUGGUAGUCCACGCCGUAAACGAUGAGUGCUAAGUGUUAGAGGGUUUCCGCCCUUUAGUGCUGCAGCAAACGCAUAAGCACUCCGCCUGGAGAUGCAGGCC
rnacentral:rRNA from 1 species